rnacentral:rRNA from 1 species
UACGUAGGUGGCAAGCGUUGUCCGGAUUUACUGGGCGUAAAGGGCGUGCAGGCGGUCUGUUAAGUCUAGGGUGAAAGCUCCCGGCUCAACUGGGAGAGGUCCUUGGAUACUGGCGGACUUGAGGGAGGUAGAGGAAAGUGGAAUUCCCGGUGUAGCGGUGAAAUGCGUAGAGAUCGGGAAGAACAUCGGUGGCGAAGGCGCUCUACUGGACCACAACUGACACUCAGGGACGAAAGCUAGGGGAGCGAAUGGG